AGCAGCCUCGGUUUUCCCACCACCUCCAAAUCAUGCAAGACACAGGGCAGAGCCCCCGGAGCCAUGGCCAGCCCUUCCGGCAGCUCCAAAGCCACUGGCAAGCCCCGAGGCAGGGAUGGCCGGCCCAGGAGAGAGGAGGACGACGUCACUCCCGAAGAGAAGAGGCUGCGGCUGUUGCUGGAGGAGGGAAGCGCACAGCCCGAUGACGGGGAGGACGCACCGCGGCCAGGCAGGAAGGAGACCGGCACCCAGACAGGUGGCGACGGCAGAGGAGGCUUCCGCUGGGACUAGGAUCAGGAUGUGGACACCCCCAACAUGGACCAUCUGGCCGGGGAGGGCGUCAAGGCCAAGUACCUCAUGCCGCCCCUUGUCACAAUGACCUCCCCGUUCCACUUCACUGCCAUGCCAGUUCACCCAUUCUCCCCAG
rnacentral:lncRNA from 1 species